rnacentral:rRNA from 1 species
GGAUUAGAUACCCGGGUAGUCCACGCCCUAAACUAUGUCAACUAGUUGCCGGGUCUUAAUAGACUUGGUAACGUAGCUAACGCGUGAAGUUGACCGCCUGGGGAGUACGGUCGCAAGAUUAAAACUCAAAGGAAUUGACGGGGACCCGCACAAGCGGUGGAUUAUGUGGAUUAAUUCGAUGCAACGCGAAAAACCUUACCUACCCUUGACAUGUCAGAAAAUUUUCAGAGAUGAAUUUGUGCCCGAAAGGGAAUCUGAACACAGGUGCUGCAUGGCUGUCGUCAGCUCGUGUCGUGAGAUGUUGGGUUAAGUCCCGCAACGAGCGCAACCCUUGUCAUUAAUUGCCAUCAUUAAGUUGGGCACUUUAAUGAGACUGCCGGUGAUAAACCGGAGG